ensembl:lncRNA
GUGUGUAGAAUCCAGCCGAAGACCGGACUUCAUUCUAUUGGGAGGUAACCUGGUUAAGAUGGAGGAAUCUGAAAAAGGACCAGAUCUAAAAUUGUUUUCCACCACGAAUAACUCCAAUCAAGUCACAAGACGUGGGAGGGAAACACAAGAGGAGAGAGUUCCUGUUGGAGCGGUGGACCUGACAGGGCUGACGGAAACACUUCUCAUCUUCAAAGUGAUGAGGAGGAUCUUGAGCCUCCCUUGCCCCUGAGAUCUGUGGACGAGGUGCCAAACUACAGACCCCUUCCACCUCCUCACCAUCACAUGAAAAACUACGACCUCCAUCGCGUUAUGGAGGCCAGAUAUUAUCACUCUGCAGGAGGAGUGCAGAACAACAACCCCGGCCCCCUCAACGCGUACCCUCCUCAGCUACGUCACCACUGUGCUUCCUGCCCCCACAGGGAC